AUGUCAGCAGAAAGAAGGAAAUUUAAAAUUUCCUGCAGGUCAUUAAAACACUACAUCAAGGGCAAUGUGAUGGACCCUUGUGGUGAUGAAAUUGCUUCGUACCUUGACUGUAAGGGUGUAUAUAUGAACCUCUGCGUAUGUAAAAUUCUGUGAAACUACACAGACACAGACACACACACUCACACACACACACACGCACAAGUGCAUAUAAAACUAGGAAAAUCUGAACAAGGUUGAAGGGUCAUAUCACUAUUAAUAUGUUGGUUUUGAUAUUAUAGGCAAGAUAUUGCCAUUGGGGGAAACUGAAUCAAGAGUACUCUGUCUCUAUAUUAUUUCUUACAAAUGCAGAAGCAGCUACGGUUAUUUCAAAAAUAGGAAGUUUAAUUUGAAAAACCACAUCAACCAUUUGCUCUAUUUCUGGGACUUGCCACCAACCUGUAGACUUUAUAUAAUCUUUGCAUUUUCAGCGUGUAUGUAGUUCAGUCAAAAAGCUCAUUGCCUAUCCUGAAACAGUUUUUUGAGUAACUGCACAAUAAUCUGCAUGAUCAAAGCAUACUAAACAACCUAUGACUCAGAAAUAUGACACUCUACCACUUCUUUUGGUUCACUCUUUUUAAAAAUGCAUGAUAGCAUCUUCAGGAAACUCUGUCAUUGACCUCUCCAAUUCUUUAGAUGCCAAGCUACAGGGUUCUGCUUGAGUGGGUUCUGCCCUGAAAAGUGUGUUUGCUUUGAAGAAAUUCUAUUUUUACUUGUCUAAUAGGUAAUUCUUUAUGUCGGGAAAUGAGGUCAAGUAAACACUCAGCCACAGUCCAGACUUAUAGCUAUAGGUACUGAGAACUGUUUAGAACCUAGCCUGAUUUAGAAUAGUUUUUGAAAACCCCAGAAUGAAAUGACCCAGUUACUCUGGUUUCUACUUUAUCUUCAAAGGCACCAUCUUUUGAAUUGUCCCUGACUGAGAAAUAUGCUAGUUAUGAGCUUUAUAAGGGUGCCAAGCCUGUUUUGUUCAUAAAGAGUUUCUCCCUGCCAUAUAUCCAGCCGAACCUUAUAAUUAUAGCCAGAGCCUUGCUCACCAUGGUGACUGUGGCCGGUGCUAUCAGAUAUUAAAUCUAUUGAUCUUGAGUCUAGAGUUCAUCUCAGAGAGUUUUCAAAUGGCCCAUGCAGUCUCUUUUCCCGGGUGUGAAGCACAUCUUAGCUCCUUGUGUGCUUUUAAAGGCUCAUCUUAUGUCUUGGUACAACGUAUUCUUUUGAUUUGCUGGUGAUUUUGUCACUCCCCAUGGACAGAUGCAAACUAGAGGACAAAAGGAGGGAAAGAGGUCCAAGGAAUGUAGAAUUCUUGCUUUUCAAAUCACCUUCCUAAUACUUCAUUGCCUUCAUAUGCAGGUCAUAUCCCGAGCUUGUCUACUCUUGGAAUGAGAGCCAACUUUUUUAUUUCUCUCAGGUUGUAUUGGGAAGAUGGUGGGCUCUUGGAACGGAGAGUACCCCAUUAAAAAGAGCUACCUUUAAGCCUAUAGUGAAUAAUUCCUAUGAAGCUGCUUAGUCUAUCUUAGGCUACAAUAGUCAAUAGUCUAUCUUAGGCUACAAUAGUUUGAAAUAUGGGAGAGAUUUAACUAUUACUCUAUUAUUAUUACUAUUACUCUACUAUUACUCAUCAUAUUAUCAUGUCAUGCUAUAAUAUAAUACUUGAAAAUAUAAACAUAUAAUAAAUACAUAAAAAUAACAUGAAAAUAUAAACA
rnacentral:lncRNA from 12 species